AGCCAUGGAGCGCUCUGGGCCCAGCGAAGUGACAGGCUCAGACGCAUCGGGACCGGACCCGCAGCUUGCGGUCACCAUGGGCUUCACGGGGUUCGGUAAAAAAGCUCGCACAUUUGACUUGGAAGCAAUGUUUGAACAAACUCGAAGAACAGCUGUGGAAAGAAGUUGCAAAACACUGGGAUCCACCUUGAUGUUCAGUGAAGAGUACCAGAAAAGUCUGCUAGAGCAGUACCAUCUGGGUCUCAAUCAAAAACGCAGAAAAUACGUGGUUGGAGAGCUCAUCUGGAAUUUUGCCGAUUUCAUGACUAACCAGUAAAGAAGAUGGAAGAAGAAGGAAAGAAAAGGCAUAAUGUAAAUAUAAACGCUGUCUUUAUUUCUGGAUCUAGCAAAGAGUUAGUUUGAAAGAGCAAUUGCUUAUAAGACUACAAGGCUGAUUUCUCCCAUCCCUGCAAUGCUGAAAGUCUGUGCCCUUCUAAGCAAAUUCUAGUUUCCCUGACAAUUAGUCUAAUGGAAUGCCUGGAUGUAGGAAUAUUGAUUCCGAUGACAGUACUUUUACAGAUGGACCUGAGAUAUUUCUGCUGGUUCUUCACUGACAACACACAACAUAUGGAUGAUCAUAACUUUCCCAUAUACCCCACUAGGGCAAAACCAGAAACUGAGAAAGCUAGAUGGAAGAAUAAUGAUGUGGAAGGGGAGUUCUCCACUAGGAAGGAUCCGAUGAGUAGAUAGACACAAGGACAAAGAGGGCCUAACUUUGGGCUGUGGAAGCGGAGUUGCACUCAUAGGAGCCAUAGUGAGUCAUUGCAUCAGAACCACUAAGCAUCAGUCAUGAAGAGCAAACGGGCUUGCUGUUACAGGAGCUAAACCCUGAACCCUUCCAUCGUGGUUACAGAGAGCUUCUGGGGGACAGCAUGAGACAGCUUAGCACUUCCCCAAUAUUAUGAGGAAACCCAAAGGCCCAGAUGCCACUUGGGAAAGGAGAACCAAGAAGGAAGGACUUCAGAAAAGGAAGAAACCAUGAAACAUUAAGUAAUUUACAAACUAGACUCUUCUUUAUUCUCUUAUUUUAUUUAUUUCUUUAUUUUUGAGACAGAGUCUCACUUUUUGCCCUUGAUGAAAUGGACUGGCCCAAUCAUGGCUCACUGCAGCCUCAAAAUCCUGGCCUCAAGAAAUCCUCCAGACUCAGCCUCCUAAAGUGCUGGGAUUACAGGCAUGAGCCACAGCACCUGACCUAGACUGUUUUAAACUAGAUUUCCCUGAGAAAACUUUCACUGGAAAAAUCAAAAUUAUCCUGCUGUCAUUAAGAGAAAACUAUCUGUUGUAGAAAAUUACAUUCUUUUUUUUUUCAGACAUGUCAUAUAAAUAUUUGGACCCCUCUCUGAGAACAAACUACUUAAAAGUCAUUUCAAUCAUUAACGAAUAUCAUAAUUGAGGGCCUGUGCUGGGUGCCAGAAAUCUACCAGUGAGCAAAACAGCACGGAUCUUUGUCCACAGUAAAUUUACAGAUCAGAGGAAACAGAAAAACAAUCAGUUAAAUAAAACAGGUCUGAAAAUUGCGUAUGAGAACCCAAAGCAGAGGUACCUAAUCAGGUCAAAAAAAAAAAAAAAAUGGAGCAAAUUGUGCCUAAUAACUUGGUAUUUUUCUGCAUCCAUUUGAUGUUCUAGCUACAUUUCUUCACAUGUCCCAUUACUAAGGUCGACACUUUCAUGCAGUUGCAUAUGUUGUUCCCAGUAUUACUUUCCUGUUGCUGCCCUAACAAAUUGUCACACUUUUGCAGCUUAAAACAACACAAGUAGAUUAUGUUACAAUUCUGGAAGAGAGAAGUUCUAAAAUCAAGGUUUUCACAGGGCCAGAUUCUUCUGGAGGCUGCAGGAGAAAACCUGUUUCCUUGCCUUUUUCUGCUUCUAGAGGCUUCCUGCAUUCUUGCCCUUGUAAGCCUUCCUUCCUCCCAGCAGUCCAGCCUCUGCUUUUGUCAUCAUAUCUUUUUCUCUCUGACUUGAGCUUCUUGCCUCCCUCUUACAUAAACCCUAGUGUCUACACCGCACCCACCAGGAUACUUCAGGAUAAUCCUCCCAUCUCACGACCUUUACCUUAAUUAUCUCUGCAAAGCCCCUUUCGGCAUGCAAGGUUAACAUAUUAACAGGUUUCAGGGAUGAGGCCAUGCCCAUUUGUGGGUGGGGGUGGUUGUAGGAAAAGCAUCAUGCAACCUACCACUCUUUGUUCACAGGAAUUUCCAUCUGGAUCUUUUUAGAAUUAAUCAUUAUCAUUUACUAAAGUGUGGAGGAUGAUAGAAGAAAAAAACGAAGGCAGUUAAGGAAAGAGCAAAGAAAGGCAAAUGGGAAGGAAGGAAUGAAGGAAGAAAGUCAACCUUAGAUCAUCAUAGUAAAAAAAAGUAGUACUGAUUACUGAUGAAUCGUUUAAAGUAAAAACUGCAGGAUAGCUAUUGCUAUACCUAUUUUGAAAGUGAGAUUUCAAAUGACCUCUCCAAUUUGCAUUCACUUAUAUGUCCAAAGGUAUGACCAUCAAUCUAUCUUAAUGUCAGCAAAAGAACUUCACAUUCACUUUUGAAGUGAUUUGAAAUGGCUUUAAAAUCAUUCAAAAAUAGUCAUAUGUCAACCUUAACAACAUGUCUGCAGCACACUUUUACUUCUCUGGCUCAAAAACUGUGCUGUUACCAGGUGGAUCUCAGAGAAUGAGAUAUAUAGGAUGUUCCAUAGAGUAUUCUUAGCUCUACAACAUCUUCCCUCAAUUUAUCCUACUAAGUUCAAAUUACUGACCUUCAGGGUAUGGAAAUAGAUCUACUAUUUUAGCAUUUUACGCAUUGUCUAAUACGUAAAACCCAUCAGCUAACAUAAAAGAAGUUUCUUGUUAAACUAAGAUAUAAUGUCUGAUUAUCGUAUAUUAUCCAAAAUAUGAUUCAUACUAAAUAUGAAAUUAUCUAUAUCUAUAUAUUUUGACAACAUAAAAGCUAUAGAAUGUCUCUAGCACUAGAUAGGAGAACAAUACCUUCUUGUUAUAUAUAAUAUUUGUUCAAUAUAUUUUUCUUUUAAAAAAUUUAUGUCAUGUAGGCCCUCCACCAGUGGUGAUAUGUGUACAAUUUUCUUCUAACAUACAGUAUUUAUAAAAGUUGUUAAGUUGUUUAUUACUGAGAUGUUUUGUACCUCUGAUAUAGAUAGAUAGAUAGAUUUAUAGAUAGGAGAUAGAUAGAUAAAUUAUAGAUAGAUGAUAGAUAGAUGGAUAGAUGAUAGAUAGAUGAUAGAUGAUAGAUAGGUAGAUACAUAGAUACAUAUAUAGAUGAUAGAUACAUAUAUGAUAGAUAGAUGAUAGAUAGAUAGAUAGAUAGAUAGAUAGAUAGAUAGAUAGAUAGAUAAUCUUUUAGUGCCCCAUAGAAGUAGCUCUUCAUUAUUGAAGGAUAAUCCACUAAAUAUGUUAAGGCGAUUCAUCUUAAAAGUAUCUGUGCUCUCAUUUGCUGUGUAGCAAACCUCCCACAUGGAAUAAUUUGUCUUCAUGCUCUUCUCUUCAAAGUCACAGCAAUAUUUCAAAUUACCUUUAAAGCAGUAUUUCCUGAGAAAUAAUUGCAUUUUUCUUUAUUGCCAUAUGGUUCUCUAGAUAUUUUUGCUUGUCACCAAGGGAAGGAGAUCAAGUGGCUCCCCAGUGAUAGGUGAUGUUACCUUGGAUGCAGACAGCAUCCCUAACCAGAUACUGAACCUGUUGGCACCUUGAUCUUAAACUUCUCAGCCUCUGGAAUUGUCAGAAAAAAAUUUCUGUCUUUCAGGAAUUACCCAGUAUCAAGCAUAUUCUUACAGCAGCACAAACUAAGACAGGGAGGCUUUUGCUAUCUCUCCUCUGAAUUGUCACAAUUAUCUUCGAAAUGGUCUUUCUACUUUCACUUUCAUGGCUUUCCAAUAAUUCUCAAUACAAAUGCAUGAUUACAUAAACAUUUGCUCAAGAACCUGUAUAAAAAGACUGGUGGAUAGUGACUAGAUCCUCAGGAUAUGCAGGGCUCAAGAGAAAUGAAAUAUCUUGGGGAUAUGGUUACUUAAGACGUGAUACUGUCACAGUGAAUUUCACAGAAGAUGGUGCUGCCCUAACUGAGGUUCAAUCCAUGUAUAAGCCAGACCAAUCUGAAGACAAAUAAAGUAUUUCACAGCCACAA
ensembl:lncRNA GUSBP1 GUSB pseudogene 1